rnacentral:tRNA from 1 species
GACCGCGUAGCUCGGUUGGCAGAGCAUUGGGCUAGUGUUCCAAAGAUCGUAGGUUCGAUUUCCACCGUGGACA